CUGGUGUCUAGGACUGUAAAAGAGCUGUAAAAGAAGCUUGGCAUCUGCUUCUGAUGACGGCCUCAAGAAGCUUCUACUCACGACAGAAGGUAGAGGGGAGCAGGCAUCCCAUGGCAAGAGAGGAAGGAAAAGAGUGAGAGAGGAAGUGGUGCCAGACUGUCUUUUCAACAAUCAGUUCUCAGGGAAAUAAACAGAGUGCACACUCACUCAUUACCACGACGAAGGUACCACGCCAUUCACAAGGGAUCCACCCUCAAGACCCAAACACCUCCCACCGGGCCCCACUGCCAACACUGGGAAUCAAAUGUCAGCGUGAGAUUUGGAGAGAUCAAACAUCCAAACUUACCAGUGAGUAGAUCACCUCCCUGCACUGGGCUGCCAGGAGUCAAAUGCUGUAAAUGUGCCCCGCCUUCUUCCAGGCUAUUUGUAGCUCCAGGUGACAUAGAAAGUGUUUUGUUAACCACAAAGUGAUGCAUAUGUGUAAGGGGUAUUGAUGAUGAUGUUUCCAUAUUUGCACAGAAAACUGAAAUACUAAUGUCUUUCGUCAGAUAGGAUGGAAAUGAUGGAACGAAUAAAAUAGCAUUUUGACAAGCCAUACCCUGUUGACAAGAAAUCUUUAGAGUAAGGUCUUGAACUAUAUA
rnacentral:lncRNA from 10 species